UUCAAGAAGGUGAUAAGCAGGAGAAACAUACGAAGGCGCAUAACGAUACCACUGACCCUCAGCAAUCUUAAACUUCUUAGACGAAUCACCAGAACGGAAAACAUCCUUCAUAGAAAUUUCACGCGGCGGCAAGUUGCCAUACAAAACAGGGUCGCCAGCAAUAUCGGUAUAAGUCAAAGCACCUUUAGCGUUAAGGUACUGAAUCUCUUUAGUCGCAGUAGGCGGAAAACGAACAAGCGCAAGAGUAAACAUAGUGCCAUGCUCAGGAACAAAGAAACGCGGCACAG
rnacentral:rRNA from 1 species